AACGGGAAAUGGAAAAGGGCUCAUCGAAGGAGGUUGCGGGUUUUGCCCGUGGCGAUGCUGCUGGGCUUUGCCCGUAAUUUUCGGCUCAUCAACUGUUCCUUUUACUUUAAUUUGGCCAUGGGGGUUCUCGGAAUCAAAUUCCGAGCGGGUAGAAGAAUUUUUACCUUUUUUGACGGUCAGAGGUGGCUCCGGCGUGGCGGGGGGUGGCGGUCGACUCCCUUCUCCAACGAUUGGUUCCUCUUCUCCAAUGGGAGGUUGGCGGCUAGGGUUCAGGUUCGGUGUGAUAUGAAAUAUUUAUAUUCAUCUUGCAUUAAUCUGGAUCGUUUAUCACGUUUGAUAUCGAUCAUUCGAUCACGUUUAAAGAGAAAAUGAAUUUUGACUGUUCAUUGCG
rnacentral:lncRNA from 1 species